rnacentral:rRNA from 1 species
CCAGACUCCUACGGGAGGCAGCAGUGAGGAAUAUUGGUCAAUGGGCGGAAGCCUGAACCAGCCAAGUCGCGUGAGGGAAGAAGGCCCUGCGGGUCGCAGACCUCUUUGGACGGGGAGCAAGGCCGCCGACGUGUCGGCGGAAGGAGAGUACCCGUAGAACAAGCAUCGGCUAACUCCGUGCCAGCAGCCGCGGUAAUACGGAGGAUGCGAGCGUUAUCCGGAUUUAUUGGGUUUAAAGGGUGCGUAGGCGGAUUUUUAAGUCAGCGGUAAAAUGUCCGGGCUCAACCCGGGCCGGCCGUUGAAACUGGGGAUCUUGAGUGGGCGAGAAGUAUGCGGAAUGCGUGGUGUAGCGGUGAAAUGCAUAGAUAUCACGCAGAACUCCGAUUGCGAAGGCAGCAUACCGGCGCCCGACUGACGCUGAGGCACGAAAGCGUGGGGAUCGAACAGGAUUAGAUACCCCAGUA